rnacentral:rRNA from 1 species
AUGGCAAUAAAAGUUCAAUAUUGCCAUGGCGAUUUAGGUAAAUUUGCCAUGUUAAUAAAAGUCCAAAAAAUAGUAAAACUUGCCAUGGCAAUAAAAGUUCAAUAUUGCCAUGGCGAUUUAGGUAAAUUUGCCAUGUUAAUAAAAGUCCAAAAAAUAGUAAAACUUGCCAUGGCAAUAAAAGUUAAAUAUUGCCAUGGGGACUUAGGUGAAUUUGCCAUGUUAAUAAAGGUAAAUUUGCCAUGGAAAAUAAAUAGUAAAACUUGCCAUGGCAAUAAAUUGUUAAAAUUGCCAUGGGGAUUUAGGUAA